AAUAAGCGGAGGAAAAGAAACUAACAAGGAUUCCCCUAGUAACGGCGAGUGAAGCGGGAAGAGCUCAAAUUUGAAAGCUGGCACCUUCGGUGUCCGCGUUGUAAUCUCGAGAAGUGUUUUCCGUGCUGGACCAUGUACAAGUUCCUUGGAAUAGGACGUCAUAGAGGGUGAAAAUCCCGUACUUGACAUGGAUGCCCAGUGCUUUGUGAUACGCUCUCCACGAGUCGAGUUGUUUGGGAAUGCAGCUCAAAAUGGGUGGUAAAUUCCAUCUAAAGCUAAAUAUUGGGGAGAGACCGAUAGCGAACAAGUACCGUGAGGGAAAGAUGAAAAGCACUUUGGAAAGAGAGUUAAACAGUACGUGAAAUUGUCGAAAGGGAAGCGCUUAAAGUUAGACAUGCCUGCUGGGAUUCAGCCUUGCUUUUGCUUGGUGUAUUUCCCAGUGUGCAGGCCAGCAUCAGUUUUGGCUGUCGGAUAAGGGUUAGUGGAAUGUAGCCCUUCGGGGUGUUAUAGACUCUAACUGGAUACGGCGGCCGGGACUGAGGAACGCAGCGUGCCUUUAUGGCGGGCCUUCGGGCACCUUCACGCUUAGGAUGCUGGCGUAAUGGCUUUAAGCGACCCGUCUUGAAACACGGACC
rnacentral:rRNA from 1 species